rnacentral:rRNA from 1 species
ACUCAAAGGAAUAGACGGGGGCUCACACAAGCGGUGGAGGAUGUGGCUUAAUUCGAGGCUACGCGAAGAACCUUAUCCUGGUCUUGACAUGUAUGGAUUAACCUGCCGAAAGGCAGGCCACGCCUUCGGGUGGAACAUACACAGGUGCUGCAUGGCUGUCGUCAGCUCGUGUCGUGAGAUGUCGGGUUAAGUCCCUUAACGAGCGAAACCCUUGUCCCUAGUUGCCAGCGAGUCAUGUCGGGGACUCUAGGGAGACUGCCGGUGUUAAACCGGAGGAAGGUGGGGAUGACGUCAAGUCCUCAUGGCCUUUAUGACCAGGGCUGCACACGUCCUACAAUGCUGCGCACAGAGGGAAGCAAACCUGUGAGGGCUAGCAAAUCCCAAAAAACGCAGCCCAGUUCGGAUUGUAGGCUGCAACUCGCCUACAUGAAGUCGGAAUCGCUAGUAAUCGUGGGUCAGCAUACCACGGUGAAUGUGUUCCUGAGCCUUGCACACACCGCCCGU